CUUGUUAAUCUGGAAAGAAUACAAGCAUCAAUUUCAAGCGCUUAUAGGGAAUCAAGCGGGCUUGUUAAGGUCGUAAGUUGGACAAUUAUCCCGUGUUAGGUUCGGUCAGAUUAGUCCUACACAAAAUUGAUCCAAUCAUGUGAAAACAAAUGUAUUCUGAUUUUUGUCGCAGAUAUUUCUGGUCUACGCACUCCAGUGCCCGCACAACUGAUAUUGAAACACCUGAUUUUCCCAUAUUCUACAGCGACAAAUUUCCUGAUAUUUUACAACCAUGAAGGACUUGUAUGCGAAAAUACUCGCAAUGCUCAUCUGCUUGCAGAUUAUCCUUAUCACUUUCUUCCCGUUAGGGGCUGAGCUAGUGCUGCACCAUACGGCCAAAUGCCGAAAGUGGCUAGGAUAUCCCAGAGAGAGUAGUGCUGCACCAUGCAGUCAAAUGCCGAAGGUGGCUUAUGCUAGUAUAUACCUGUCUAUACGUUUCAAUCAGAAGAUCGAUAUUAUGUGUUCAUGUGAAAGUUCACAUUUCCUUAGGAGCUGUAUUUUGAUAGAUUUAAGCUUCUAAUGGAGCAUUUUAAACGUAUAGAGUAUACUAUGAAGUAGAGUGCGGAUCAUUUUAUAUUCAUAGAAAAUUUGAAUGUAUGGAAAUGUACAAAAUGCUCAUGAUAUGCAAAAAUAUGCAAAAUAUUCAAAGUAAACCAAUCAUCAAAAAGUUUAAAAGAUCAGACUCUCUAUUUUUCUUUUUGCAUCCUGCAAAUUACCGUAUAGAGAUGUAAAACGAAAGCUAUUGCUCGUUAAAAUUUGACGUACUUUUGUUUUCAUGAAAAUAUACAUAUGUUGAAUUAAAUAAACUAAACUAUUGAUAAUCACAUUGAAAGUAUAUAUAUUUAUAUGUAACUUAGAUUUCACAGAUUAUUUCGAUAUUGAAGUACUUCUUAUGUAUUAACGAAGAAGAUAAAACAUACUAAUACAAGCAUAAUUCAACUGAGCGAUUAUGAUAAUGUUAAUGCGCAUCUCCGAACGUGCAGAGGAUAAAUGAGCAGUUUUCAGAAUUCUACCUUUUAGCGUUCUACACACGAUCGGAGCGUAAAUGUGCCCGUAGUCUGCCUGUUCCUAUAAGCUACUUUAAACGAUCAUCUUUGAUUGUGUUGGCUCGUAGAUCAUAGAGGAAGCGAUUUACCUAUCUUUCGGAACAAGAACUACAGUUAAAAACAGCGACCAAUUGAGAACGGUAGUUAAGUCCGCGAGUAGAGGGGUGAGCGUGUUUUAGCGGCGACAACAGCACACGGUAUGCAGAUACGAAGCCGGGGUAAACCGGGAAGCCGUAGUUCACGGACCGUAGUAAGCGUGGUAACUCUGAACAGUCAACGACAUUUGAAAGCCGGCCGCGCUCUGGAAUUCAGAUAGACGAAUAUGCGGCUGCUUCUGUUCCAAAUAUCUCCGUUACUGUGCCUGUUGACGGAAAUCGGCGCGGCUGGGAUCGGUAAAGCAUGGCAGAUCCUGCCAUACGCGACCGAUUCCUGGAAUCACCCAUCAUGGCCACGGCUCGACUCUUCCGCGUUCGAAGUUCGCAGCGUGACCGGG